rnacentral:rRNA from 1 species
AUUGAACGCUGGCGGCAGGCCUAACACAUGCAAGUCGAGCGGAGGAAGGGAGCUUGCUCCUGGAUUCAGCGGCGGACGGGUGAGUAAUGCCUAGCAAUCUGCCUGGUAGUGUGGGAUAACGUCCCGGAACGGGCGCUCAUACCGCAUACGGCCUGAGGGAGAAAGAGGGGGCCCUUCGGACCCCACGCUAUCAGAUUCGCCUAGGUCGGCUGAGCUAGUCGGUGGGGUAAAGGCAUACCAAGGCGACUAUCCGUAACUGGUCUGAGAGGCUGAUCAGUCACAGUAGAACCGAGACACGGUCGCGACUCCUACAGGAGGAAGCAGUGGGGAAUAUUCGACGCUGGGCGAAAGGCUGCUGCAGCAAUGCCGCGUGUGGGAAGAAGGUCUUCGGAUUGUAAAGCACUUUAAGUUGGGAGGAAGGGAAGUAAGUUACUACCUUGCUGUUUUGACGUUACCACCAGAAUAAGCACCGGCUAACUUCGUG